AGUGAUUGGGGAGAGAGAGAAAAGCUCCUCUCCUCUAACCCCCAUGUCAGUGUGUUCCCUCUAUCAUACUAAGCUCCUGGCCGAAGAAGACGGAGCUGGUUGCCAAGGAGACGCACCACCUUCAAGGAGGACGAGAGCUCUCGCAAAUCAACCCAUUUAUUCCUUACUGUGACAUGAGGACCAGUGAUAACAGUGACUAGUGUGUGGCAGUGUGUUUAUUGGGAAGCAUAUACUGUAGCCUCGUUUUUCGAGCCAUUACGUUCUUUCUCUCAAUGACUACUGCAUCACAUCUACUGCUCCCAGGCCAUAUCCGUGACAUAUAGUUUGACUGUAACAGCCUCCUCCACUGCUCACCAUGUUAAUGCCAACUGUCCUGGCAGUAUGUUUCCCCCUCCCUUAGUGACAAUGAAAUCACAGAGACUAUCCUCUUCCUCCCAUUGGCUGGGAAGCACCAUGGUGAUGCCCUCUGAUUGGUCAUGCCCAGCAGGCACACUCGGCCAAUCAGGCUCACUGUAUCCAUGAGACUGAAGCAUGUAGGGCUAUUUAAAUCCAACCACAGACACACAAGAUUGCUUAGAUGUACAUUUCUAUAUUUUUUAAAGCAGGGGGGAAAGGUUUGCGAGUGGACAAACAUUGCAAAUCGAGACAGACCUGCUCGCUGCAGUGGUCGACCCAUCUUCGGGGUUAAACUAAACCAGGGCGAAGCGUGAGUUGAAUGAAUGAAAGCAGCGUACCAAUUCAGGUUGUACUCUUCUAUCCCUCUACCCUGAGUUUGUUUAUGAAUAUUGAUAGAACUCUAUCCCUUACUUGCAUUCAUGCCUACUUUGCCCUAAAUGAAGCUGUGGCAGUGAGCGGAGACUGAACGGUGAAAUCAUGUGGACAGGAUGAACUAAAGCUGGAGGUCUCUUUUCUCCUGUACAACUGUGUCAGGGGGGCACUGGGUAUUGGUUGUUCAUGCCACAGGAGCAUGGUACAAACAGUGUUCUACAUCUCACAGAGGAGCAGCAUUGGAAAGAAAAGCAGCGGAUGAAAAAGACGACCAUCUAGGCUUACAAUUUUGAAGCACCAGACUCCAGACCGGGUUCUGGAACUCGCCUGUCUCCUCUGGAAUAUGUGGGUUCUUCUCCUCAUUGUUCAUCUCAUAUCCUCACUGUUGAAAUGUACAUUCAUCUAUGUGUAUUCUGGUGAACUUGUUGGGGAGCUUGGAAAGCCUGAGUGUAUUGUUCUGACUAUACAUACUACAUCAGUGCUUGGUCCCUCGAUGAGGAAGCCAUUUUUGUGGCCUACCAGAAGCCCAGGUUGCCAGUGGCCCAGGAUGAGGAGCCAGACCCCGUCAGCCACAAAGCCCUCCCCAAACCCCCUCUGACCCCCUGGACCUGAAGACGAGGGUGGCAGGGGUGAUGCCGCGCCUCCUCAGAGCUGGCUGUCUGACAACACUCCCACCUGUGGCAGGUUCAACAGGGGGUAAAGGGAGAUGGAGAGAGAGGGAGAAAUGAAACAAAGAUGGAGAGUUAGAAGGGAGUGAGACAAAGUUGCAAAAGCAAUGGAAUGAGAGAUGGGAGGUAAUAUAAAGAGAGAGAGGUGCACGGUAGGUUUUUUGAGCGAGGGGGAGAAAAGGGGAGUGGAGAGGGAUGGUCAAUGGUUGCAAUAAGCAAAACAUGAACACUUUAUUAUUGUAAGGAAAUAUCUCUGCGUGUUGUUUGCCAGUCAUUUUAUUAUUAAUAAAUAAUUUGCACAGGCAGAGGGCUGGAGCAGCUCUUUUCCCAAAGGGAAAUGAAUGGAACCAUUCACAGGAGGAUGUUAUACCUGAUUUACCUUCCCACUUGGUUGAUUGAGGUGGAAAACGGUAUUCGCUGCAGCUGGUUUCAAGGUGGUUUAGUCUUCUUUAAAAAAAAUGUUUUUAAAUGUUUUUUGUUUAAAAAUUAAUUGUAAUUUUUAUUUAUUGUUAUUUUUUUGUCUUCUUUUUUGCACCUUUGCUUGCUGUCUUCACUGUAUUAUAAGGCUUUUGGGAAAAGCUAAAAUGACUGUGUAGAGUUUGGUUAUUUGUACAUUUUCUAAACAUUAUUUUCUAAUCUUUCACAAAAUCAAAACACAACAUCUGAAAAGAUGGUGAGAACUUUGAGGGCAGUUCAGAACACUAGUAUCCAAUAACUAUAAUAUCUCUUCACUAUACUGUGUUUGUAGGGAGGGACAGUGUGAGUUCAGAUUCCAGCCUAGGGCAGAGGGAGCUGUCAGCUAAGAGAAGAGGCAGGAGAGCCCCUUGUACUGAGCCUACUGAUGGAGAGAAGAGAGACAAGGAUUAGGGGAGGCCCCUCAACCUCCCCGAUGCAGGACCAACAGUGAAAGGUGAAUCAGAGGACACCGUGGAGAGGCUGUGUAACAUCUGUGACCAUCUCCAUGGCGCCUUGGCCGAGCAAGGCAUGCUGGGCCAGUGUUGCAGGACUCAACCUGCAGCUCACCAAACUCACCCUAGCUGAGGUGCUCUGUAAAUGUGUUCUGAAAAUGAGAUGUCCUGGAUACAGUCACUAAAGUGGUAAACUUCAUAAGAGCAAAACCUUUAGACCACAGGCAGUUUGUCUCACUGUUGGAAGAGACAGUCGGGUCGGGCAGAUCUCCCCUACCACACAAACGUGGGAAAGGUGCUUAAAAGGUUGUGGGACCUGAAGUCGGAGAUUGCAGAGUUUUUGCAAAUGAAAGGAAAAUAUGUGGAUUCCCUCAACCACAAGAUAAAGAAUGGUUGGCUGAUUUUGCCUUCACCGUGGACAUCAUGGCCCUCUUGAAUGAACUGAAUUCCAAACUAUAAGGGAAGGGCCUUUUUGCACAUCAGAUGCACAGCCUUGUCAAAGCCUUCAAGGGAAAAUUACUCCUUCUGACCUGCCAAGUAGAAGCCAACAAACGUACCCACCUUCCGACACUACUAGUCUAUUCCCUAUCAGAUGACCCGCGGGAGAAGUAUCGCUGCUGCGUGCUUUGAACGGUGAGUUUUCUCAUCGUUUUGAGGAUUUCAAUUUGUUGGAAAAUGACAUGCUGUUGGUUUCCUCUCCUUUCAAUGUGGAUAAUGCUCCCACUGACCUGCAACUGGAGUUUAUUGAUCUUCAGUCUGAUGCAGUGAUUGGAGAACUAUUCAAAACAAUGUCACUGACGAGGUUCUAUGCCUCUCUCGAUGAACAAAACUUUCCAAAGAUUAUGAGUCAUGCUCAGAAGAUGUUUGUGCUGUUUGGGUCAACCUAUGUAUGUGAACAGAAAUUCAUGUCAGUGAUUCUCUCGUUAACACAAGUGUGAGCGUUGACGAGGACAAGGCUGGAGAUCACUCUGUCAUGCGGAUUGAGUUCCGAAUAACAGACUGGAAGCUUCAAAAGGAGGGUGGUGCUUGGAAUCGUUUUUCUACCUCUGCCAACCAUGGUUACCUGCAAGGAAACACGUGCUGUCAUCAUUGCUUUGCACAAAAAGGACUUCACAGGCAAGGAUAUUGCUGCCAGUAAGAUUGCAUCUAAAUCAACCAUUUAUCGGAUCAUCAAGAACUUCAAGGAGAGUGGUUCAAUUGUUGUGAAGAAGGCUUCAGGGCGCCCAAGAAAGUCCAGCAAGCGCCAGGACCAUCGCCUAAAGUUGAUUCAGCUGCAGGAUCGGGGCACCACCAGUACAGAGCUUGCUCAGGAAUGGCAGCAGGCAGGUAUGAGUGCAUAUGCAUGCACAGUGAGGUGAAGACUUUUGGAGGAUGGCCUGGUGUCAAGAAGGGCAGCAAAGAAGCCACUUCUCUUCAGGAAAAACAUCAGGGACAGACUGCUGGACUGCUGGAUUGGACUGCUGAGGACUGGGGUAAAGUCAUUUUCUCUGAUGAAUCCCCUUUCAUCUGGCUGACCACCCAGAAUCCCACCCCUUCUUCAUCUCCCACCGUGCCCUGACCAAACUGUGCCAGGCGCUGCACCAUCACCACGGAGAACAAGAUAUCUGCAUCAACAUCGCCAGGGUGUUCAGGACCUGGGGGUGCGUCUGCUCUUCACUCUGGGUAACCUAACGUCUCAGAGCAGUGAGGCCAGAGAGCACCUCUUCACAGCUGAGGGGUGUGUGUCCAUGUUGCUGGGGCACUACAACACCUACGAGGGGAGGGGGGACCCCCCUACCAUACACACACCUUCAGCCAGGGACGCCCGUACACCCUGUACGUCUCCCGUGUGGGGGCGGGAGACGGAGGACAUGCUGGUGAAGCUGGUUAGGGUGCUGAUCAUCCCCCCUGCAGUGGGACCUACCCUGGCAGCUAACAAACACCUAGUAUACGACCUGCUGGACACACUGAGGGAGUUUCAGCGUUUUUAGGGUAAUGUAAGAGUGAAAUUAUGGUCCCAUAAUGUUCUCAUAACAUCCCCAUAAUGUUCCCAAAAUGUUCUAAUAACAUCCCAAUAAUGUUCUCAGAACAUCUGAAAAAAGGUGUACCCAAACUGCCCACACUUAGAUCUGAUAAAUGUAUUGACAGGACAUACCAAGGCCAGCCAAGGCUCUAAUGAAGGUGAUUUACUCCGAAACCUACGCCUGUUUGUAUGUCCCGUCAAUAAACGUAUCACACUGUACAAACCCUUCACUGUAAAAGUCUAUACAGUAACUCCUUGUUUGGUACCAGUUUCCUGUGUGCUGAGGACAGGUGCCAAACAUCUAACACCUAUUUCUUCCUCAAUUUCUUGCUUUCUUCUUUGUGUUUUUUUUGUUGCAUAUCCUUUUUCGGUUUGGGUCCUUUUGCAGUCUGAAAGAGCCAAAGAGAGAACAGGAUGUUCUGUGCUCUUUAGAGCCUGGUUGGUUUCUUGUGAAACUUCUAGGUGGUUGGAAUAAUGGUUUCAGGACUGACUGGUACAGGCCAUGUUCAGGCGGGUGUGAAAUUCUCAGUUUCUCAGCUUUAGCUGUGCGCUCUUCCCUUCCACCUCCCUCCCACACACUGUAGUGCACUGUUACUGAGAGAGAGAGAGAGAGAGAGGGGAGAGAGAGAGGAGAGAGAGAGGGGAGAGAGAGAGGGGGGAGAGAGACGGGAGAGAGAGAGAGAGAGAGAGAGAGAGAGAGAGAGAGAGAGAGAGAGGGGAGAGAGGCAGACAGAGACAGACAGACUACUGCUCCCCCUCAUACCUACGCUGCUGUUCAUUGAUUAUUGACACCAUUAGUAUCCAUCUAAUUAUCCUGCUACUUGUCACUAUUACUCAUGUUUACAUGUAUGUAUUACUAUUAGUAUAUUAACAUAAGUAUUUAGAUAUUCCUGCUACCAGUCACAUUUCAGCCCUGUUUACAUGUACACUGAGUGUACAAAACAUUAAGAACACCUUCCUAAUAUUGAGUUGCACCCCUUUUUGCCCUCAGAACAGCCUCAGUUCAUCGAGGCAUGGACUCUACAAGGUGUCGAAAGCGUUCCACAGAAAUGCUGGCUCGUGUAGACUCAAAUACUUCCUACAGUUAUGUCAAGUUGCCUGGAUGUCCUUUGGGUGGUGGACCAUUUUUCAUACACAUGGGAAACUGGUGCGCCUGGCACCUACUACCACACCCUGUUCAAAGACACUUAAAUCUUUUGUCUUUCCCAUUCACCUUCUGAAUGGCACACACACACAAUCCAUGUUUUAAUGGUCUCAAGGCUUACAAAUCCUCCUUUAAUCUGUCUCCUCCCCUUCAUCCACACUGAUUGAAGUUGAUUUCAAUAAGGGGUUAUAGCUUUCACCUAGAUUCACCUGGUCAGUCUAUCUCAUGGAAAUGUUUUUGUACACUCAGUGUAUCACGUCUACGCUGACACUUUUGCACACACACACACACACACACACACACACACACACACACACACACACACACACAUGCUGCUGCCAUACUGUUUAUUAUUAUUAUUAUUUAUCCUGCUACCAGUCACUUUUUCCUAAUCCCUGCCUACAUGUACAUAUCUACCUCAAUACACCAGUAUCCCUGCCUACAUGUACAUAUCUACCUCAAUACUCCAGUAUCCAUGCCUACAUGUACAUAUCUACCUCAAUACUCUAGUAUCCAUGCCUACAUGUACAUAUCUACCUCAAUACACCAGUAUCCCUGCCUACAUAUACAUAUCUACCUCAAUACUCCAGUAUCCCUGCCUACAUGUACAUAUCUACCUCAAUACACCAGUAUCCCUGCCUACAUGUACAUAUCUACCUCAAUACACCAGUAUCCCUGCCUACAUGUACAUAUCUACCUCAAUACUCCAGUAUCCCUGCCUACAUGUACAUAUCUACCUCAAUACUCCAGUAUCCCUGCCUACAUGUACAUAUCUACCUUAAUACUCCAGUAUCCAUGCCUACAUGUACAUAUCUACCUCAAUACUCCAGUAUCCCUGCCUACAUGUACAUAUCUACCGUAAUACUCCAGUAUCCAUGCCUACAUGUACAUAUCUACCUCAAUACUCCAGUAUCCCUACCUACAUGUACAUAUCUACCUCAAUACUCCAGUAUCCCUGCCUACAUGUACAUAUCUACCGUAAUACUCCAGUAUCCCUGCCUACAUGUACAUAUCUACCGUAAUACUCCAGUAUCCAUGCCUACAUGUACAUAUCUACCUCAAUACUCCAGUAUCCCUACCUACAUGUACAUAUCUACCUCAAUACUCCAGUAUCCCUACCUACAUGUACAUAUCUACCUCAAUACACCAGUAUCCAUGCCUACAUGUACAUAUCUACCUCAAUACUCCAGUAUCCCUACCUACAUGUACAUAUCUACCUUAAUACUCAAGUAUCCCUACCUACAUGUACAUAUCUACCUCAAUACACCAGUAUCCCUACCUACAUGUACAUAUCUACCUUAAUACUCAAGUAUCCCUACCUACAUGUACAUAUCUACCUCAAUACACCAGUAUCCCUGCCUAGAUGUACAUAUCUACCUCAUUACUCCAGUAUCCCUGCACAUUGUAAAUGUGGUAUUGGCACUGACCCUGUAUAUAGCUUCUAUUAUUUCUUAUUUUUUAGUUGUACUAAUAUACAACUGCUCUGUUGGGAAGAGCUAACAGGUUAAGCAUCUCACUCUACUGGUGAAUGUGACAAAACUUGAAACUGAAACAGACAGACGUUUUUUCUCUCUCCCCGGCACUGGCUGUGGACCCAAAUCAGGCAGCUCAAUAUCCUGUUUUGAUCACAGUUUAUGACAGACCAUGCAUGCUGCUUUACAUUAGAGACAGAGAGAGGGAGAGGAGAACUUCUGCACCACACCAAAGGGCCUUUCCAGUCAGACCCAGAAACGAAACACACUAUGACGCAGGCACCGGUUGACAGUACGACCGCAAUAUCUUUGAUAUAAUACGACCAAACAAGCUAUAUUUUCCUUCCUUCUCUCUCUCAUGCUGUUGAAGCUGCUCCUCUCUAAUGCUGCUGGAAGGGGGGGGGGGGGGGGGCAGAACUGUCCGGAGUUUUAUCAGCCAACCUUCAGCAGCAGAUGCACUCAGGGAGAGCUAAUGUACUCAGGGAGAGCUAAUGUAAGGCAGUGUGUGAAUCAUAUGUGACUUAAACCCCUCUCACCCGGCAUGGGAUGUGUGUGUACAGGCUGGCAGACAGUGAGGGACUUUGGGCCAGCUGGCUGUCAGACGCUGUGGAACCUCACUGAGAAGGGGGGGGGGGGGACAGACUCCCCAUCCACACUGGACAACCAGGAGAGAGAGGCACUGCUUGAGGUCCAAACACUGUACCUAGGUACGAAAAUUAUUUAGAAGAGGUUAUUUUACUGAAAGUUUUAUGAAUAACCUUUUAUAGUUAUUAUAUGCUUUGGUCUACUGCUGUAAACAAAUACUUUAUUUUUAUGUUGUAUCGUUUUGAUGAAGCUCUGAUUCAGAGGGGUUGGGUUAAAUGCAGAAGACACGUUUCAGUUUAAUGCAUUCGGUUGUACAAAGGACUAGGUAUCCCCCUUUCCCUUAGACGAGGAGGAGGCGCUGCAGUGGACCUCUGGUGAUUACAUGAACUUCCACCGAGAAUUCUGGGAGUCAGAGUUCCGUCCUGUGGCUCAGAGGCUGAGGGACAGGAUACAGACUCAAACUGUCAGCCAUCUACACAGUCUCCCUCCCUAAAGUGUGAUGUCCUAGCCUUUCUUCUUGCUGUGCCCUGCUAGCGUCCUGUCUCCUCUCCAGUGUCAGUCUGUACUCAACACACUUUACCUUCCGGUUCUACCAGUCUCUCUAACUCCAUUAGUAAGGUCCUGACCAGGGACAACUCUGGGACUUAGUUGUAGGUUGUUACUUGGGUUUAGAGUGUUUUCCUAGUCAAGAAACCCUCUUGGCCUUAGCUAUGAUAUAUGUAUUUUUGAGCCUCUGACUUGUAUGACAAACUGUUGUUUUCCCUGUAAAUAACAAAUUGUUGUAACUGGUAAAGUAAUAUUAUCAUAAGCUACUCUUACAUAUGACAAUAAUUGUAAAUUGCGUCUGUGGUGAUAAAAAGUUAAGACAUUGUUAAUCUGUGAACUGCUGUAAGUAAUAAACCACAACAAAACAAAGUGUCGUAAACGUUCUCCUUCUCAAAGCCUUUAUUGUUACAGAUAUGGACCAGGCAGUACUGCUGCAAAGUUAGUAAACAGCAUUUUUUAAAUCACAUCGUUAUUAUCAUUACAUCAAAUAAAGAACAAAAACGGCACUUCUGUCAAAAUAAAAGAAACUUAUCCUGCAAUAAUAACGCCUUAGUGACCACAUCCCAAUAGCAUUUCAUCAGCCAUAGUUAAUGACACACAUUCUCUACAUGAUAGACACCUGUCCGUCUGGGUUGAUAAAGUUAGUUAGUCGGGUGAUCGUGGAGGUAUUAAGUGCAUCUAUUGUUUAUAAUAGUCUCAUCCUGUUCAGAUUGUCAUAGGGAAAUGAGGCAGUUCAGUAUCAGUAGAGAUAUGGACCAAGUCACCCUCUGUUUGCCCGCAGUAGGAAAAGUCCCUGAACAUCCAAAGAAUUCAGUCUACAGCCAGUCAUCCACAAGGAUGCCAGGGAGUUUCCGCAGGGAGAACGGAACAGGAAGGUGAGCAGAAUAGAGCUCAAAGGUGAUCCUAGAAGGAAUUUUCCCUCUCAUCUCACUGCACAUUACAGACGGGUCCAAGUGUUCUAGCACAACAGGUGUGGGAGUAACGUUCAACCUUGACUCGUCAACACAAGCAAACAUUGAACCACAGAGUUCAGUGUAGUAUAAAUAGGAGGACUGACUCCCCACUGGACAAAAACUAGUUGAAUUAACGUUUUGACAUGAUUUCAACAACAAAAAUGAAAUGUGUUGACGUUGAAUCAAAGUGGGAAAAAGCAAUCAAAACAAGAGAAUUUAGUAUUUCUUUACCUAACUUUUAACCUAAAUCCAAUGAGAUGGUGACUUUUCUUCACGUUAGUCAACAAGUCAACCAAAUCUAAAUCAAAACGAGACAUUGAACCAGUGGGUCCACACUCAACACAGGAAACCAAAACCCUGCUAGGAUUUAGACUCACACACCGAACAGUCUUAUGCGGUUGUAAGAAACAUUUCUUUAUGUGUGGGACUCAUAAUUGCAUUAACUGUGCAAAAUGCAUCUGUAAUAGCCAAAUGUUUCCUACAUCAUUACUGAUGACAUAUUGUAAAAUGCCAUUGAUGGAGAUCAGAUGU